GUUUAAUUAGUUUAUAUUAUAUAAAAAUUAUAAAUUGUGGAUUUAUAGAAGAUUUUAAAAUCAUUAAACA
rnacentral:tRNA from 1 species